rnacentral:misc_RNA from 1 species
CCGUCAAUUCCUUUGAGUUUUAACCUUGCGGCCGUACUCCCCAGGCGGUCGAUUUAACGCGUUAGCUCCGGAAGCCACGUCUCAAGGACACAGCCUCCAAAUCGACAUCGUUUACGGCGUGGACUACCAGGGUAUCUAAUCCUGUUUGCUCCCCACGCUUUCGCACCUGAGCGUCAGUCUUUGUCCAGGGGGCCGCCUUCGCCACCGGUAUUCCUCCAGAUCUCUACGCAUUUCACCGCUACACCUGGAAUUCUACCCCCCUCUACAAGACUCUAGCUGGACAGUUUUAAAUGCAAUUCCCAGGUUGAGCCCGGGGCUUUCACAUCUAACUUAUCCAACCGCCUGCGUGCGCUUUACGCCCAGUAAUUCCGAUUAACGCUUGCACCCUCCGUAUUACCGC